ACUCCUACGGGAGGCAGCAGUGGGGAAUAUUGGACAAUGGGCGCAAGCCUGAUCCAGCCAUGCCGCGUGUGUGAAGAAGGCCCUCGGGUUGUAAAGCACUUUCAGUGAGGAAGAAAGCUUGUCGGUUAAUACCCGGCAAGGACGACAUCACUCACAGAAGAAGCACCGGCUAACUCCGUGCCAGCAGCCGCGGUAAUACGGAGGGUGCGAGCGUUAAUCGGAAUUACUGGGCGUAAAGCGUGCGUAGGCGGCUUGGUAAGCCGGUUGUGAAAGCCCCGGGCUCAACCUGGGAACGGCAUCCGGAACUGUCAGGCUAGAGUGCAGAGAGGAAGGUAGAAUUCCCGGUGUAGCGGUGAAAUGCGUAGAGAUCGGGAGGAAUACCAGUGGCGAAGGCGGCCUUCUGGACUGACACUGACGCUGAGGUACGAAAGCGUGGGUAGCAAACAGGAUUAGAUACCCUGGUAGGCUCUG
rnacentral:rRNA from 1 species